AGGUGGCGACCGGCGCACGGGUGAGUAACACGUAUCCAACCUGCCGAUAACUCGGGGAUAGCCUUUCGAAAGAAAGAUUAAUACCCGAUGGUAUAAUCAGACCGCAUGGUCUUGUUAUUAAAGAAUUUCGGUUAUCGAUGGGGAUGCGUUCCAUUAGGCAGUUGGUGAGGUAACGGCUCACCAAACCUUCGAUGGAUAGGGGUUCUGAGAGGAAGGUCCCCCACAUUGGAACUGAGACACGGUCCAA
rnacentral:rRNA from 1 species